UACGAAGGGUGCAAGCGUUACUCGGAAUUACUGGGCGUAAAGCGUGCGUAGGCGGGUUGUUAAGUCCGGUGUGAAAGCCCUGGGCUCAACCUGGGAAUUGCAGUGGAUACUGGCGAGCUAGAGUGCGGUAGAGGAUGGUGGAAUUCCCGGUGUAGCGGUGAAAUGCGUAGAUAUCAGGAGGAACACCGGUGGUGUAAACGGCUUUCUGGACCAUAACUGACACUGAGGCACGAAAGCGUGGGUAGCAAACAGG
rnacentral:rRNA from 1 species